AAAUUUGAGGGAAAAGCUAUCGCGGCAAAAUUUUCCCUCAUUUUCUCCUUUUACGGUUUUCCCCCAAAUCCUUCCCUCUUAUCUUCACACAACCUUUAGGUUUUAUCUUUUAGAAUCACCUUCCCAAUCCUAUCAACGUUUCAGUCCAGUGGCAGGAGCUUCGAAUUAGGUAUGAACGAGCAUUGGCCUUCUCCCAAACCAGAAUUAGGGUUUCAAAUUGUACAAUUUGCAUAUUUAAGUUGAGGAGAUUUUCAUAUCGAUUACGUGGAGUGCGUACUCUUAUUCAAAUUGCAUCACUCAUUAGGUCCUUUGGAGAUCAAUGUCUACUCUUUCACUUGUGACUGUCGUCUCUGCCAUAUUACGAUGAGCCUUUCAUUCAGUACAAAGUCAGGCUCAAAACAAGUGUAAGCCUCUUGUGUUAGAAUCUCAAUUUCAAACAAGUCUAGACUUUGGAUUUUUUAUUGCUUGAUAUAUCUUGCUUAAUAAUAUUCGGCUAAAAUAAACUUGUGCUACCUUGCAACUGGUACUUUCCAACAACUUAUUUGAAGAUAAGCUCAUAGUUAGUAUUUAGUUUAUUAGUUUUUUGAAUGUUAUAAAAUAGUUAUUUCCUUAGUUAUAUUUUAAGUUUCUAAGUUGCAUUAUGUUCAACAAGCUUAAAUUCUUGAUGGAAUUCUCAACAUGAUCACUAAUUCAAGGGUUGAAAGUUGAGGGAAGUCGUACUGGUAAAAUCAUAGCAAGAUGAUGAAGGUGAUUUGGAUCUUAUAUCUUACGUUUCUAUGGUGCUUAUUUUACUUGUGUCACUGUCAUCUCUCUCUUUCUCCAGUAUGUUUCUACUAUAUUAGAAGAGUGGGUUAUGAUUUGGGAUCGAUAUUUUAGGUUAAUGUCGUUUAAUUUCAAUUUGAGGGCAUUUUAGUCUUUUAACAUACCUAAAUGCAACUUGGCUUUUUUCGCUGAAACUAAAUAGACACGUAUCAGCUGGAUACUUUUAAUGCUUCUUGCUCAUUCUUUCGCAGUUUUUCAUCCUCAUCUCCUCUGAUUUUGCAACUCUCCAGUUAUACUGGUGAUUUUAGCAUUUAAUGAAAUAUAUAUUACAUGCCCAUUGGGCUAUAUUGACUGCUCUUGGUGCUUUGAAUUCAAAAAUGUUAUAGCUUAUGGGACUCUUUCAGCUUUUGGAACCUAUUAGGUGGUGAGAGUGGGCUAUUCAAAAGCUUAAAGUUGAUAUCUUUUAUUUAUGUGCUGAUGCUAAAUUUUGCUUGAUUAACAGGUGACGAUAUCCUUAACUAUUGAUAUUACUAUUGUAAAUUCUUGGAACUCGCAUGCUUCAGCUUUGGCUAAUUUAGGAGCCAAAUCAUCAAUAACCAAACUUCUAACCUGGAUCACGGAUCCAUUAAGGUAUCCUAAGAUUUGAUUGCUCCCAUCAAUUGGGAAGUGGCAGCCCUUCCGAAUUUGGACAAAAAUCUUUUUUCCUUGCUGGUGUGGUUAAUGCAAUAACUCAGGAGUUGUGUAGCAAUACUCUUGAGUGUGUUAUCAAUAGGUUGAAAAUGGCAGCUCAAAAUUUUCUUUCGCUCGAAACAAGUGGAAGGAGCUCACAAGAUAGGAGAGAGACGUUAUGAUUAAAUUACAUUGUAUUUUUCAAGAUAAUCACAUUUUUAUCACAGGACAUAUUAUUUUGUCAUUAAUUGAUUAUAUUUGUGAUAAAACAUAGUAUUUGUCCUAGAAUUGCCUUAUGAUUAAUAAUAUGAUUCAUUCUUUAA